AACGAACGCUGGCGGCAUGCCUAACGCAUGCAAGUCGAACGAGACCUUCGGGUCUAGUGGCGCACGGGUGCGUAACGCGUGGGAACCUGCCCUUAGGUUCGGAAUAACUCCCCGAAAGGGGUGCUAAUACCGGAUAAUGUCUUCGGACCAAAGAUUUAUCGCCUUUGGAUGGGCCCGCGUUGGAUUAGCUAGUUGGUAGGGUAAAAGCCUACCAAGGCGACGAUCCAUAGCUGGUCUGAGAGGAUGAUCAGCCACACUGGGACUGAGACACGGCCCAGACUCCUACGGGAGGCAGCAGUGGGGAAUAUUGGACAAUGGGCGAAAGCCUGAUCCAGCAAUGCCGCGGGAGUGAUGAAGGCCUUAGGGUUGUAAAGCUCUUUUACCCGGGAUGAUAAUGACAGUACCGGGAGAAGAAGCGCCGGCUAACUCCGU
rnacentral:rRNA from 1 species